rnacentral:rRNA from 1 species
AGAAUUUAGCAGAGAUGCUUUAGUGCCUUCGGGAACUCUGAGACAGGUGCUGCAUGGCUGUCGUCAGCUCGUGUUGUGAAAUGUUGGGUUAAGUCCGCAACGAGCGCAACCCUUAUCCUUUGUUGCCAGCACGUAAUGGUGGGAAACUCAAAGGAGACUGCCGGUGAUAAACCGGAGGAAGGUGGGGAUGACGUCAAGUCAUCAUGGCCCUUACGAGUAGGGCUACACACGUGCUACAAUGGCGUAUACAAAGAGAAGCGACCUCGCGAGAGCAAGCGGACCUCAUAAAGUGCGUCGUAGUCCGGAUUGGAGUCUGCAACUCGACUCCAUGAGGUCGGAAUCGCUAGUAAUCGUAAAUCAGAAUGUUACGGUGAAUACGUUCCCGGGCCUUGUACACACCGCCCGUCACACCAUGGGAGUGGGUUGCAAAAGAAGUAGAUAGCUUAACCUUCGGGAGGGCGUUUACCACUUUGUGAUUCAUGACUGGGGUGAAGUCGUAACAAGGUAAGCGUAGUGCU